CGGCCGGUGCAGUUGUUUUGAAACAAAAAUAAAAGUUUUGGACUAUCUAGAGCAGGGAGCUGGCCCAACAAAUGUGGGAAAGAGGCUUGGGCAAUCCGUAAACUCUCAAAACAAUAUUAUUUACUUGCCCGACAAAAAUUUAGAUCCUCGAUUGGCUAGCUGUAGGCAGCACCCGCAACAAACAAUGGCUUGGGCCGCUGUAACCACAGAAAAGACUGAAAAUUUACACCGUUGGAACAAGCUCAGCUCAUCUGGUAACUCUAACAGAACACGUCUUUGGCUUCAUCAUCAGUAGCGACCGCUCGUGGCGACAGAAAAAAUUGUAAGGGAAUUGAUUUUAGGUUAAAACGUGUAGUUUUGAAAUUGAGGUUGUAAGAUAUUUCGAGCUUCCUCACUCGGCUCAUCUUUCGAAUACAGAAGUAAGAAAAAAUAUUUCAGCCAAGCAAGGAAACAAUGAUGAUUUGGUGUUAAGACAUACUUGCAUUUAAAUACCUCUCAAAGGGGUUGAGCGAGUGGGCUGCUUACCGCAUAACUUUUUCAUCUCUUUUUUUCAAGUAAAUGAAUAAUUUCUAAGCCCACCGAGGCUGUUAGUUGAGGUUGUUAAGAAGUUAUUGAAAUAAA
rnacentral:lncRNA from 1 species